rnacentral:rRNA from 1 species
UACGGAGGGUGCAAGCGUUAUCCGGAUUCACUGGGUUUAAAGGGUGCGUAGGUGGGCAGGUAAGUCUGUCGUGAAAUCUCCCGGCUUAACCGGGAGGCUGCGGCGGAAACUGGUGUGCUAGAGGGUGGGAGAGGUAAGCGGAAUUCCUGGUGUAGCGGUGAAAUGCGUAGAUAUCAGGAGGAACACCUGCGGUGUAGACAGCUUACUGGACCACUUCUGACGCUGAGACACGAAAGCGUGGGUAGCAAACAGG